rnacentral:tRNA from 1 species
GUGGUUGUGUCUCAGUGGUAGAGUGCUCGCAUAGUAUGUGUCAGGCCCUGGGUUCGAUCCUCAGCACCACA